CAAGCCUUCCAGUUUAUGGUAUUUUUGUUACAAUAGCCUGAAUACCCCAACCUCAACUUCCUUAUCUGUGAGUUGGGAAGGCAAUAAACAGCAGCUGCCUCCAGGACUGCUGUGAGGAUUAAAUGAGAUUCUGCGUGAGAAGGGCCAGACCUGCAGUGAGCGCCCACCUCCCUGUUCCUACCUGCUUUAGCACACCAACUGUGGGUAUUCCUAAUCCCUAAAAGGUGUCACCUUCCUCAAUCAGUUAACUGUGUGGAAAGGGACAGGAAGUGGCCCAAAGCUUCCGGCUAAUCAGGGCGUGUUGGGAGGGGGCUGUGGAUUUCAGGCCUCCCAAGGUCCAGGCUGAUGAGAUCCCAUCUAACCUGUUUUUAAAUUUUUCCUUUCUUUCUUUCUCUCAAGCUCUGUCUGCCCUGUAGGAGGGAAGGCUCUUGGGCCCUGCUAUGGCUCUGGAGCCUUCUGGCCAGAUGGACACUUCUGGAACGGGUCAGCCAAAGAAUUGCAACCAAAUCUGUGCACCAGCUGGACCAGCUGUCAGUAAAGCCUGGACCAACAGUGGCCAAGGCUGGGGAGUAGCACCACAUCCUCUCUUUGACCUUCAGCCUCACCCUUGGCAGACUACUGGACUUCUCAGGCCCCCAAGAACAUUCUGACCCAGAGAUGAAAGGUGGCAAAAUGAGGCUCCCCGCCUUGUCCGUUUCUCAGGCAAAAGAGAUCUGCUUCAGUCGUCCAGUGUGACCUCAGUUUAGGAGGAAUCAGUCUUUGGCUGUGGACAUGGAACAAGCCCACCACUCUUCCCUCAAGCUGGGCCAGUGGCAGAAGCUACUGACAGUGGUUCUGUUUCCUGUUUGGUCCAGGAGGCAGCCUCAGCAUCUUUUUCAACACAGCAUUCCACACAGUGAUUAUACCUGGGCAUGAAAUGGAGCUUUUGGCCCCACUCAUCUAGUGUGACCUCAGUGCCCCAUGCUACCACUCCUGAGCUGGGGGCUAGGGCUUUGGCUUGGACUAGAGCUAAGCCAGUGGCCACCUGCUACCAUAUACUCUCCAUUAAAGUACAGGCCAGCCAGCUGUCCAACCAAUGUCACCCUCUUCCUCCUCACCAUGUGGCCUCUCACAUCCGAAGCCAAGAGCAGGACUUAGGAGUGUCCACAGUAUCAGCUCUCCUUGGAGAAGGUAGAAGUGUAUGGGGUCCACACACUGUCCUGUUCAGUGUGUCCUGUUCAGUGUGUGCAUGACUUGGGACACACUGGUCACCCAUGACUCAAGGCAGACAUAGCACCAGACAGCUGGCCCAUCAAGGCUGCAGGUACCCAGCGUGAACCCCUAGUGUUGGAUGUGUGCACACGUGCCUGUCCUCCUCAGCAUGCAGCAAGGUGCUGGCCCCUCAGGGUCACCUUGAGGAUGCUCCUCCCUCCACGGCCUUGGCAUCAGAUGAGAGCCUCAACCCCCGCCCCCCCUCCCGCCCCCCGGCAGUGCCUGUCUCAUUACCAGUUGGGCACAGAGAUGGCAUCACCCGUGCCUGCAGAUGGAGCCAGUUGGCACAGGUGCCUGCCUGCAUGGCCAGUUGAGAAAUUAAUCUUCCAGUCACCGUGACCAGCAGAGGUAGGUGCUGCUUUAAAUUAUGAGGGAAAGUCUCCCAAUUUCUAAACACAGGGUCCAUUUUAUCAACAAGAUAUAUAUGACCUCUCUGACAGCCCCUGUGCCCCACCCCUCUGCCUCUCUGCCCACCGCACACCAGCUGCACAAGGACAGAGGAUAAAGCAAGCUUUGCCUCUAUCUUGAACUUUUUCCCAAGCUCCUUCCACAGGUGCCCAUGAUCAAAAGGAAAUUGUACCUCAAAAUACCAUCUCUUCCCUGAGAGGCUGCCUCCCCCCACCCCGCUCGACAUACCAGCAGGAAUAGGUACUGUCUCUGGAACAUUUACUGUGUGUCCCCCACCAUGCUCGGUAGGUCUCACACACUAGAUUACCUCAAUUCUCUGAUGGACUGUGAUGGGAUCCCCAAUUUAAUAGGUGCGGAAACUGAGCCCCAGGCAAGUUAAGUAACUUGCCCAAAGUCACAUAGCCCACAGAGGGACCUGGGGCAGUGGGCAGCCUAAGCCCCAUGCUCUUAGCCAAGGUGCUAUUCUGUGAUUAUCAGGUACUAGGCUCUGAGAGCUCGUUUCUUUUCUUUUCUUCUUCUUCUUCUUCUUUUUUUUUUUUUUAUCUUGAUAAAUGAAAAUGUUCCUAUCCCUAAAAUGAUGCUUUGCUGCUUCUGGAUCACUUUAUUAUAGUCAAAGCAGGCUAUGACCUAUGGCUUAUCCAGCGUGAAGGCAUAUCAACAGCUGAACAUUGCUGAUAAGACACCGGGAUUCCAGAGAAGGGAGCCAGUGCGUGUUGGGAAGAGACAGAUCACAGCAAGCAGGACACUGGAGAAUGCUUCCCAUGGAGGUUCCUGUCUGUAUGGAUGCCUGGAAGUGGUUAAUAGAUGCCAAGAUGCAAGAGUCCUUCUUCACAUCUUUGUGGAACAAUCCACUGUUUCACAAUGAGCUGUUUCCCUCUAAUGGGUUUGUUCUUUGCGGGAUACCCAAGAGAAUAGCGACACUGUCAAUUACAACAGGAAAAUCCAUCUCCUCUCUCCCAGUGCACUUGGCCCUGUGAUGCCACAGGUGACGACUCUGAAGAUCAUGCUUCCCUUGACAAGAUUUCUAGAUACAGAAGCCAUUUUCCCCUCCACCAACCUAGGGCUCAGUUUUUAGAUUUUUCCUUUUCCAAUACUCCCUGGUUGUGGCAGAAGAGUCUGGACAGUGGUCCAAGUGAUGGCAAUGGUGCCUGGGUCCAGGAGGAAAGAUGG